CAUUGUCCCAAUACAACCGCUCUAACGGCUCGCUGUCGUAUAUCGCAUUCAAGAAGGGCUCUUUUGUGUCUCGCAUCAGCUUCACCAGUUCAGGUAUCCACACUUUCUCCGCUGCUUCGUACAUAUUCUCGAUCAUGUCGCGGCUUACUUUUGUUGUGAGCGAGUUUCCCUGAGGUGAUUUUGCUCUUGAUCAUCAAAUAUAUGUGAUUUUUUAAUACCGUAAGUAGUUGAACGAACAUGUUAUUUACCUUCAAAUCUGGCUCUUGUUGAUUGAGAUACCAAAUCCAGUUGAUCCUUUUGUUGAUUAAUUCGUAAAGAAUAGCAUGCCCUUCCGAACCCAAAUCGAAAUAAUCGCAGUUUCCCAGAUCAGGGUAUGCCUUCUUGAGUUGCUUUACUGUUUCCGAGUUCUGAUUUUUCGAAUAAUCGAGGACCCCUCUCCACGCACAGUAGCCUGAAUAUCUAUAAUAACAAAUAUCGUUUAUUUCAACAUCUACAUGUAUAUUAAUAUAUGUAUGUAUAUAAGUUGUUAGAUUGAAUAGUACCUGAGUUUGUGGUGAGGAAGAAAACAUUUACGAACUGAAGAACGGCAACCGUCAGCACCGACAAGAAGAUCACCGACAAUUUCGACAGUUUCGUCGGUUUUGAGAACCUUAGUCAACACUUUGACUGAGCUUUUGUCUUCAGAUAUGGAAAAUGAGAGGAAAGAGUGUCCCCACAGAACAACAGCUUCCGGUGGUAAAGAUUUAUGGAGAAGGCUAUGGAGAUCAGCCCAGUGUGCUGCUGUGUAGUUAUAAUGUUCGUCUCGUGUCAGUGUUCGAGUAAUCUUGGUUUCCGCAUCUGUUGCUUGUUCCUGUAAUGAAAGAAACUCAUUUUCUUAUUACAUCCAUUUUUGUUGUUAGUCGAUAAUAGAUAAGACUUACAUGGUCAAUGGUCAUGGGCAUGGUGAUAUGCUGAAGGAGAUGAGGUGGUUUAAUCCAUUUGGGAAUGAGUUUGAUAGACACUGUAUCGAGUCCAAUUCCGGCACCGGUGGAGCAGCCAGUUAGGGCGGAGGUGGUCUUCUCCACCACCACCACUUCCCAUCCGGCGGCAAUCAGUGCGUGCGCACUGCAAAUCCCCGCUAUGCUGCCGCCCACAAUCACCGCCUUCCCCUUUUUCCGGUUCUCAAUCAUCUCUUUGUGCGUGUGUGUGUUUGUUUGCCUUUUUCGGAUGGCAAUUACUUUAUAAUAACAAUUAGUUAGACGAGAGAAGAUGCUGGAAUAAUUGUCCAAUUAUAGAUGUUUGGUGCAAUGUCAAUCACGCGUGGGGACAAUUAGGCCUGCAAAAUGUGGUCCGAAAUUGGAAUAGCGACACCGGUAAUAGAUCUUUUGUUUUUUUGUCUCUGAAUUAGGCAGUGUCGAAUUUGGUUUUCGCUUACUCUCAAAUUCUGAGAAAUUUUACAUGGACUCAAUUAUUUGACACAUAUUUAUUGAUAGUUGAAACACACAGAUAAGAAAACUCGUGCUGGGAAUACACAUCCAGAGGGUGCCCCACACUUAUUACAUCAAAAUGGAUGGCAUAACAUUGAAAUAAGGUGUAUUCCUUAUCUGCAGCACUUUGCUUUCUUCUUCACUUGCUGUCAUAGGAUCAAAUAUCUCCCGACCAGAGACAGGUAAGCGUUGUUUUAU
rnacentral:lncRNA from 1 species